AUUGAACGCUGGCGGCAUGCUUUACACAUGCAAGUCGAACGGCAGCGCGGGCUUCGGCCUGGCGGCGAGUGGCGAACGGGUGAGUAAUACAUCGGAACGUGCCCAGUAGUGGGGGAUAGCUCGGCGAAAGCCGGAUUAAUACCGCAUACGACCUGAGGGUGAAAGCGGGGGAUCUUCGGACCUCGCGCUAUUGGAGCGGCCGAUGGCAGAUUAGCUAGUUGGUGGGGUAAAGGCCUACCAAGGCGACGAUCUGUAGCUGGUCUGAGAGGACGACCAGCCACACUGGGACUGAGACACGGCCCAGACUCCUACGGGAGGCAGCAGUGGGGAAUUUUGGACAAUGGGCGAAAGCCUGAUCCAGCAAUGCCGCGUGUGUGAUGAAGGCCUUCGGGUUGUAAAGCACUUUUGGCGGGAACGAAAAGGACUGUGCCAAUACCACGGUUCGAUGACGGUACCCGCAGAAUAAGCACCGGCUAACUACG
rnacentral:rRNA from 1 species